rnacentral:rRNA from 1 species
GAUAAACGCUGGCGGCGUGCAUGAGACAUGCAAGUCGAACGAACUUCUCGGGCUUGCUCGAGAAGUUAGUGGCGGACGGCUGAGUAACGCGUAGGUGACCUGCCCCGAAGUGGGGAAUAACUGCCCGAAAGGGUGGCUAAUACCGCAUGUGAUCGCUCAUUCAAUUGUUCGAUCAAAGCAGUAAUGCGCUUUGGGAGGGGCCUGCGUCCGAUUAGCUCGUUGGUGGGGUAAUGGCUCACCAAGGCGACGAUCGGUAGGUGGUCUGAGAGGACGAUCACCCAGACUGGGACUGAGACACGGCCCAGACUCCUACGGGAGGCAGCAGUCGGGAAUUUUGCUCAAUGGACGAAAGUCUGAAGCAGCAACGCCGCGUGAGGGAUGAAGGCCUUCGGGUUGUAAACCUCUUUUAUCAGGGACGAUGAUGACGGUACCUGAUGAAUAAGCCACGGCUAACUACGUGCCAGCCGCCGCAGUAAUAC